GUCUGCCCGAGCGGCCGCUGCUGAUUGGCCAGCGGGACGGGGGGGCGGCUCCAGGCCGGGUUUUGGCGGAACAAAGGUUCUCUUUGUUUGUGCUUUUCUCUCUGGAUCUGGGAAUUAUUCUGCUUCAGUUGAUGCAUGGAUCCAGGCCCUGAUAUUUUGUUGAACUCUAUGAGAUCUCUUCUGUUUGGUGAGUGCAGAGAAAUUGACUGGAGAUCCUAUCAACAUGAAAUACCCUGUGAAACCCGAGAAGCUCCUGAAAUGAUGGAUGACAUCAACAGCCAAAAGAAAAAAAUCUCUUCGUCUGCAGAAGAGAUCCUUAAUCACUUUGUGAAGACUGUUGAUCUGUUGCCAACUUCUUAA
rnacentral:lncRNA from 1 species